rnacentral:rRNA from 1 species
UACGUAGGUGGCAAGGGUUGUCCGGAAUUAUUGGGCGUAAAGGGCGCGCAGGCGGUCUCUUAAGUCUGAUGUGAAAUCUUGUGGCUCAACCACAAGCUGUCAUUGGAAACUGGGUGACUUGAGUGCAGAAGAGAAGAGUGGAAUUCCACGUGUAGCGGUGAAAUGCGUAGAGAUGUGGAGGAACACCAGUGGCGAAGGCGACUCUUUGGUCUGCAACUGACGCUGAGGCGCGAAAGCGUGGGGAGCGAACAGG